GCAGCCGCAAAAUCGGUUGUCGGGAUUAGCCUCCUGGAUAUCACUACAGCGCAUAGCCGCGUUAGCGGUUUUUUU
rnacentral:sRNA from 1 species